ensembl:lncRNA
CAGUGAUGAAAGCUCCUAAAGAGAGGAUGGACGGUUUCACCGCAUUAGUGACAGAAAGAGCAAGGUGACGUCACAGCGGGGUUAAAUGAGUUGUUAUAUUAUAAAACGACACAGACUCUUAAGGGAGACGUGCAGUUUUAAAGUAGAUGGUCCUUUCUAAGCGCUCAAGCCUCCAGUCGUUGUCAAAUGUACUGUUCUGAAAACGAACAUUAAAGGGCAGAAAUCCUUCGAUUGUUCGUCGUUUUUGUGAUAAAAGACGUUAACGGGCACAAUGUUUACAUGCGCGGAGUUCAGGUGUCGCUCUGUCUUGUAAAGGAAGUGACGCAAGUGAAAGUGAAAGCACACAAGAGGGUGGCGGUAGAUUUCGCGGAGCUGUUGUCUGUUUUGUCCUGCCAAAGGUUGUUAAAACUGAGAUUCAGGCUCCGAGAAGAGAAGCCCAUGAGCUAACCUUUACACGGUUUUCACCUCGUCCAGACAGAUGCAGAAGUCCGAGUCAGACCCAUUUACCUCUCAUCCAGUGAGUGAUGGGGACCCAACAGUGAAACCAGCCCAGACUGAUCAAGGAAGGCAGAUGUGUGACAAAGGGGUUUGGAUGGAGGAGAGUGACUCAUCCUCACAGAAGAGUGACAGCUCAGUGAUUCAGCCAGUCCAUUUGAGUCAUGGGCCUGCAGGCAAAAGGAAUCAGGCAGACUCAUCAACACCAGAUCAUCUUUCAGUGAAGAGUGAAAGCUCAAUGAUUCAGCCAGUAGUUUUCAGUCAAGGAGAACAGUCUCAACAGUCAAGGGUUCAGAUGGACUCAUCAGUACCAGAUCAUCUUUCAAUGAAGAGCGAAGGCUCAAUGAUUCAACCAAUAGUUUUCCGUCAAGGAGAGCAGUCGAAACAGGUUCAUAUGGACUCAUUAACACCAGACCAUCUUUCAAUGAAGAGCGAAGGCUCAAUGAUUCAGCCAAUAGUUUUCAGUCAAGGAGAACAGUCUAAAGAUACAGUGUACCAACCAGAGCACAAUAGACCUUGCUCUAGUGCUGCUGGAAUUACGGAGCCUGGUCACAUGGAGCUAAGUCUCUGCCAAAAACAUAACAGAGAUCUGGCUAUGUUGUGCAUAAGUGAUAAGAAUCCUAUUUGCAAGGAGUGUGCAGUGAAGGAUCACAGAGAUCAUGAAAAACAGUACUUAAAGGUAAAUGUUAUACAAGUUCUUAUAUUACUUCUUGAUUCUAAUAAAAGUUAAUUUAGCAUUAGUAGGGCUGGGCAAUAAAACAAUAACGAUAAUUAUCACAGUAUAACAACUUAUUCGAUAGAAAUAUAAGAAAUGGUCAGUAUUAUAGACCAUUCUUACUCUAAAUGAGUGAAAUGAGUCACCAAAUAUACUUUAGCAACGUCUGAUAUAUAUGUUUUAUAUUCCCUGUUUGAGUGGAGCGAUUGGUUAUCUGUUCUCCUGUGGCCAAGUGUGACAAGUAGCGCAACUAGACAGUAACUGUACUGUCUUAGAGUGAACUCACCUCUUUACUUACAUCCUAACGAGCUUUAGCAGCGUUAAAUCAUGUCUGCUCCACACAACUACAGCGCUGUGUUACAAUAUUUUCAUAUUUUAGUAUUAGUGCAUUCCCAAGCAACACAAGUGAAAGAAUGAAGUGGGUUCAUGCAAGUUACAGCCGUGAUUUUAACGAAAGUAAACCGAAGAUGCUGUAUGUGAGGCAUUGGAGAGUGGGAGAACGCUAGUUUUCCAGGCUAGCUGUUUUUCUGGCUAACUUGAAGCAGCACUGUCACUUGCACAGCAUGGUGAAUUGAUGAUACUGUAGAUCAAACGAGACAAAAACGGUAAUUUUAGUUUAAAUGUACCUAAAAGGAGGACUCUGUUUGUCUAGUGUGAGAGAUUUGGCAAGUGUUUGUGAUGUUCCAACCAUAAAGGAUAGUUUAAAACAACCACUCAGGAGCUCAGGAGCAAAAAUCAGCCUUCAAACUUGAAAUGAAUUAAAAAUUUGACAUUUGUUGCAAUAUGUAUCAAUAUCAAUAUCACCUUUUGAACGGGUGGGGAGGAAAGACGCUGGGGGCAGGGGUGAAGGCAGAGAGCAGAUUUAUUCUUUUAAACCCAACUUAAAUGGCUUUUAGGCCUGUCACAUUAACGUCUCGCGGACUCGUUCAGUUUGGCUCCCUUUCGCGCCUUUGCCAGGUUCUCCUUCUCUCUCGAAGCUCUGCCGCCUACUGAAGGGAGAGAUGACUAUAAGUAGGCUGGCAGAAACAAGGCACAGGUGAGCAUCGUCAGCUACUUAACCCGCUGGUUCAACCGGACCGGCCUCUCCGUCCCGCAUUCAAUGCUCGGCCAUGCCCCCUUCUCCACAAUCAACUAAUAUAACUGAAUAUCAUAAUAUAACUGAAUUUUUUUUUUACCGUGAUAACAUUUUUGGUCAUAUUGUCCAGCUCUUAGUAUUAGUAAUGCAUGUAAUUUCAUAGCUAAUAGUUCCAGUGGAUAGAUUCCGUUUAUCUUACAAAAUAGUGCAAUAGAUGAAAAUAAAUGUACUAAUUUAAUUCUGUAAAUAGGCAAGUUGUGAAAACAUAUCUAAUAAAACCUAGA